UACAGAGGUCUCAAGCGUUGUUCGGAAUCACUGGGCGUAAAGGGUGCGUAGGCUGCACGGUAAGUCAGAGGUGAAAUCCCGGAGCUCAACUUCGGAAUUGCCUCCGAUACUGCCGUGCUUGAGGACUGGAGAGGAGAUUGGAAUUCACAGUGGAGCAGUGAAAUGCGUAGAUAUUGUGAGGAACACUAGUGGCGAAGGCGAAUCUCUGGACAGUUCCUGACGCUGAGGCACGAAGGCCAGGGGAGCAAACAGG
rnacentral:rRNA from 1 species